rnacentral:rRNA from 1 species
ACUAGCAUAUCAAUAAGCGGAGGAAAAGAAACCAACAGGGAUUCCCCUAGUAACGGCGAGUGAAGCGGGAACAGCUCAAAUUUGAAAUCUGGCCCUUGGGUCCGAGUUGUAAUUUGCAGAGGAUGCUUUUGGUGCGGUGCCUUCCGAGUUCCCUGGAACGGGACGCCUUAGAGGGUGAGAGCCCCGUACGGUUGGCCACCAAGCCUGUGUAAAGCUCCUUCGACGAGUCGAGUAGUUUGGGAAUGCUGCUCAAAAUGGGAGGUAUAUUUCUUCUAAAGCUAAAUACUGGCCAGAGACCGAUAGCGCACAAGUAGAGUGAUCGAAAGAUGAAAAGCACUUUGAAAAGAGGGUUAAAUAGCACGUGAAAUUGUUGAAAGGGAAGGAUUUAUGACCAGACUUUUUCUGGGGGGAUCAUCCGGUGUUCUCACCGGUGCACUUCCCCCAGUUGAGGCCAGCAUCGGUUUCUGCCGGGGGAUAAAAGCUUCGGGAAUGUGGCUCCUUCGGGAGUGUUAUAGCCCGUUGCAUAAUACCCUGGCGGGGACCGAGGUUCGCGCAUUGCAAGGAUGCUGGCGUAAUGGUUAUUAAUCACCCGUCUUGAAACACGGACCAAGGAGUCGAACAUUUGUGCGAGUGUUUGGGUGUUAAACCCUCACGCGUAAUGAAAGUGAACGGAGGUGAGAGCCUUUCGGGGUGCAUCAUCGACCGAUCCUGAUGUCUUCGGAUGGAUUUGAGUAAGAGCAUAACUGUUCGGACCCGAAAGAUGGUGAACUAUGCGUGGAUAGGGUGAAGCCAGAGGAAACUCUGGUGGAGGCUCGCAGCGGUUCUGACGUGCAAAUCGAUCGUCAAAUCUGCGCAUGGGGGCGAAAGACUAAUCGAACCAUCUAGUAGCUGGUACCGC